GCCUGUGGCUUAUGGAAGUUCCCAGGCUAGGGGUCCAAUUGGAGCUGUAGUUGCUGGCCUACACCAUAGCCACAGUAACACCAGAUCCUAAAUGCAUCUGCAACCUACACCACAGCUCAUGGCAGUGCUGGAUCCCUAACCCACUGAGCAAGGCCAGGGAUUGAACCCAUGUCCUCAUGGAUACUAGUUGGAUUUGUUAUGGCUGAGUCAGGACAGGAACUCCACUAGUCAGAUUCUUAACCCACUGAGCCACAACGGGUACUCCGACUUCCAGCUUCUUUAGCUCACCUAGAUCCUAAAAGAGGGGUCCAGAGAUGUGCUGGAGGGGGACAGGAUAUUUCUAGGUACUUGUGCCAGAAGUAAGGGUCCCAGGACCUCUGCGUGGGAGUGACAACUGUGUCAACAAAGAGUCAGGGGCUGGCAUUGAGGCUCCAUUUGUUCAGAGGUCCCCUUGCUUUCCCUUGGACUAGGUUUCAUCAAGGGGCGAGCUGGGGCUGAUGGGCGUCCCUCAGGAUCGCCCACCCUCUGACCAGGAUGAGGAGUGAGCACCUCCCUCUGCGGACCCCCAUGCCAGCCUUGUGCACUGCUGGCCAAUCUCUCUCCUUGUCGCUCACACCACCAACUGCCUUUGACCUAUGCUGUGGGCCCCAGAUGAGCCCAAAUCUCUCCAUUCUGCUGUCUCUUCUCCCUCAUUCCUCUCUGUUCAUCUUUUCCCACUGGCUGGUGAACAACUGAAGGCAGGAAUUUUGCCUCCUUUAUUCCCAGUGCCCAGUCAUGGAUACACACAGACAGAUUUUGAUUGAAUUGUUGAGUCAGUGAGAAUAAGAAGCCAUCAGCAGCUCCUAGUGUUGAGAGUCAGAGGACAGGACAAUGCCCUGAAAGGCAGGAUGGGAAGGAGUGGGUGAGUCCCCUCUGAGAGGUCCCAAAGGCCAGCCAAACACUCAGGGGUGGGCAAUAGUGAUUUCCAUGCUGGAAGUGGCACAAGUCAGUUUCCAGGGCAAUGAAUAUAGCUUCUUAGAUAUUAAACCCAGCACUUAUAAAUGGUUAUGAAACUGGUUAUAGAAAACUUUAAAAGCUUUAUUUAUUUGCUUGUUUUAAAAGCUUUGUAGGUGUUCCCUGGUGGCCUAGGAUUAGGAUUAAGGAUUAGCCAUUAUCACUGCUGUGACUCAGGUUUGAUCCCAAACCCGAGAACUUCUACAUGCUGUAGGCUGCCUGUCCCCCACCAAAGACUCCAAAGAAGUUCCUGUUGUGACUCAGUGGGUUAAGAGCCUGGCUAGAAUCCAUGAGGAUUUGGGUUUGAUUCCUGGUGUCACUCAGUGGGUUAAGUAUCCAGCAUUGUGUAGGUCACAGAUGUGGCUCAGAUCCUGUGUUGCUGUUGCUGUGACUGUGGUGUAGGCUGGCAGCUGCAGAUCCGAUUGAACCCCUUGCCUGGGAACAUCCAUGUGCCAUGAAUGCAGCCCUAAAAUGAAAACAAACAAACAAAAAAACUGUAUAUUUACAAGUGGCUCAUGUUAGCAGUGUUUAGGAUGAACAAACAAUUGCUUUCUAAGCGUGAUUUUCUUUUUUCUUUUUGGCUGUGCCUGCGGCAUACAAAAGUCCUUAGGCCAGGGAUCGAACCUAGCCACAGCAGUAACAAGGCUACCAGGGAAUUCCAGGAAGUCACUUUUAAGGAGGGCUGCUCACUUGCCCUGUUUCUUGGGCGUGCAUUCUUUAUCAGAAUUCCUGGAGCCAUCCAUUUGGGUCUAAUUUCUUAUCUACCAGAUUGGAGAGCUGGGUUAGAGGCACUGAGACUUACAGGGAAACCAAACCUCAGGUGAUGAAGGGCUGGGAGGAGCAGGUGAUGGAGAGCCAGCCUCAUUGGAUGGGUGCAGAUGCGAGCUUAGAGGUAUCAAAAGUCAAGAGAGAGAAAACUGAAAGAGUCCUCUUCUGGACUCAUUACUGCAGAUAAUACAAAAGAGUUUGUGUGUAAGGAGGGAAGUCUGUUGCCAAGAGUGGCCAGCUGAAAGUCACUCACACCCAGGACUCUCUUCUGUUCAUGUCAGUCACUGCCACAGCUCCUCCAAACUCUGCUUUUCCCCUUCUCUAAGCACUGCCUAUUGCUCCGUAAAGAAUGUAGAUGCUUCCUCAAAGCCAUUGAUUUCUUUGAGGAAAGAUAAUAAAACAGGAAUUAUAUAAGAUUGACCAGAGUAAAAGGCAAGUGGCUACUGGUGUGCCUGGCACACUGUGGGAGCAUGAUGUAUUUUUUCCUGCUUUCCAAGAUGAACUGGAUGUCACAAGCAUCAGUAGAAGAGAUUGUCAGUUUUGCAGGGUGUGGUAGAGGAGAGGGAAAACACCUAAUUUCGGAGAGAACCAGAGGAAGAUUCUCCCUGCCCUCUGAGGCUUCUCCCAGUUAUUCUGAGAAAUAUUGAACUCCCACUGGACCACUUCCUGUGCUAUCUCAGGAGGCCCCUGCUCUUCCUUCUCUCUCUCUGACGUGUGCCCCGCAGAUCCCCCUCUUUGUGCCCAGGGUGCUGGGCUCCUUGCCCAUAGAUCUGCGAAUUACUCCCUUUGAGAACCUUGGGGAGGGAGGCAGCCUGACCUUGCUCAUCUGCCUGCCAGCGUGAGGGCAGGGGGUGAGCGGGUAUAAGACAGGGUGCAAGGACAGCCAUCUGAAGAGUAGCGCAGUUUGAGGGAUGAAGGGCUCUUUCCCGGAUCUUGGCCUCGGCUGAUUCCUGCGCGCUGGGGAGGUAGCUUCUUCACGCCGGUUGGGGGGGUGGGGGCGGACCUAAGAGAUGAGGGGAUACAGAAAUGAUGUGGGAGAGUGUCUCAAGAAUUGGGACAUCGGAGUCUGGAGGGAAGGCCCGGCUCCCUUUGGCCCACUACCGCCUCCAGACAAGAUUAGAUCGACUUCUACUGGCCGCUUGCAAGAAGCUAUCCAUUACCCACUCUCCGUCGUGCAAAGGGCCGAGAAACAGCUAAUUGGAGCAGGGCCGUGGUGGCUUCCAGCCAAUCAGCACCAAGGAACGGCCUUUGAGGCGGGGCCGUGGUUAAAGUCGCCUGUGAGGUGAGGGCCGAGGCAAGUGUGGGCAGGGCUUUCCUGUAGCGAAACGGUCCCGACCCUCUUCGCGCGGAUUGGCUGCCCCGGCUCAUUCGAGUGCCUGUCAAGCAGCCGCCCUAUUAUGCUUGCGCAGUUUCUUUUGUUCCUCUCCAUUUUCAGUUGUCCGGCCUUGUUCGCCUACUUAACGUCGCUGUGAUGGCCACGUUCUUUUGGAGGUCGAGGUCUUCAGGAGCUGGGACCUUAGAGGCUGUGAGGGAUAGCUGAGGUGAAGGGAGAGCGCAUUGGGUGAGCCCAGAGCAGGCCAGGGAGGAGGGGGACGAGCCAAGAUGCAAGCCGCAGGGAGUGAGGCCAGAAAGCCAUCCGGGGACAGGCAGGGGAGGGACAUUGUUAGAUUUGCAUUUGAGAAGGUCCUUCGAAGAGUGAGGAUGGAAAGCUGUGCCAGAGGAGAGGAGCAGCAGAUACGUGUCUGUUAGAGCUCAGUGUUACUUCCUCCUACCUUACAGGUUACUUAGCUCCAUUGUCCAACUACUGCUUAUGUCUCAUAAGCCGGGCUACUCAGUCCUCGACCUUACAGUUAAAAUACCUCGUGGAUACACCUCUCAGUCAACGCCUUCUGAAAUAAACCUUCCUAUUGUGUCACUUCCCCCAACCCCUACCUGUCUCCAUUUCAGAGUUCCCUAUCUCAGGUCCUUCCCUUAUCCACCUGGUCACAUCGGCCACCAUUGAGCACUUCAUAUGGAAAGUAUUGAUGCGUCAUCCCCUCGGCCUAUGACCCGCUUAAGGGGACUAGCACCCCCUCACUUGGGUGCUGCAGCUUCCUGGCAAUGGCAGCCUUGUUGAGUGCUUGCACGUGUUCACUCCUUUCAUCCUCAUAACAACUGUUCCAGUGAGGACUCUUACCACCCGAUUUAGGAUGAAGUCAGAGAGGUUAAGAGGAGCACCCAACCUCUCAGGUGGAGUAGUGGCCCCAGAACCGUUUCUUAAUCACCACUCUCCACAUUAAACUGUGCAUGUGAUUUAUUUUGAAUGCAAUUUAAAAAGUUUUGUUGAGACAUGAUUCACCUACUAAACAAUUCUUCCACUUAAAUUGUACAAUUUAAGCGGUUUUAGGAUGUUUACAGAAUUUGUGUACAUUAUUUUACAUAGAUACACACAUAUAUAUGCGUAUAUAUUCUUUGGUGUGGUUUUUAGGCUGAAGGCUAUUUAUUUUCUGUCAAUAAAUGCACAUUUUGUUUUCACUAAGGUGUCAAUUGUUGGUAUCACUAUACAUGUACUCUGUACCAUGCUUUUUUUUUUUUUUUUUUAAUGCUGCACCCUUGGCAUGUGGAAAUUCCCUGGCCAGGGGUCAAACCGGAGUCUCUGCAGUGACCUAAGCUGCUGCAGUUUGGUUCUUAACUCACUGUGCCACAGUGGGAACUCCAUGUACCAUGUUUUUUUUUUUUAAUUUAGUAAGUUAUAAUUUGAUUUUACAACUUGCAAAGUAUUUUCAUUCUAAUUAAUUCCUCGAUUUUUAUUGAUUGAUUCAACAUAUAUUUUGAAUCUCACUACGGUUCCAGCAUUUUUCCAGGAACUGAGGAUUCCAACCCACUAAGGCAAAGCACCUGCCUCGAAUGGCUAACAUCAUGAUGGAGACGAUCAGAAAGAGGAAUAGACAGUAUAAUACUUCAAGUAUUGAUUAACGAGUGUAGUGAAGACACAUAAAAUGGCAGAGAUGUAAAGAGACUGCUUUCUUAGAUUGGGAGGUUAGAAUCGGUCAUUUGUAUGACAUAGUCAUAAAUUUCCCUUUGCUCCCCUUUUUUUCCUGUUAAACUGAACCAGUGAAGUCAAAUACAUACCCAGAUUUUAGAUUAGAACAUAAUUUAUGAAAAGGGUUUCUUAUCUACAACGUUGCUCUAAUUCCAAGAAAUGUCUCUCCUUCGAACUUGUUUAUCUACAUCUUUGAAUAAGUUAGCUAUAACAAGAUUAAGUGUCUGAUAAGGAGAAUUACUUACUUAUUAGGCAGUAAUAGAAUAAAAGAAUAUUUUACUGGCACUGAAUGUUAAAGUUGAAAAACUGAAAACUGGCUCAACAGAGUAAAUGCACUAUGAUCGGUAAGGGUCUUGGUUCUUUAUUUGUUAGCAUAGAUGUGACUAUGAAUCUCAGUAGUUUCUAGAACCUUGUCUGUUUAAAUAAUGAGAUCACUGAAUUUGCGGCCACCUGAAAUCUGGAUUCAAAUGCCAUCAAAGCUGAACAAAGUCUUUGUUGUCUCCACUGCAGUAGCUCAACUAAAAACCCUGCAACGUUUUGGAGUUAUGUGUUAUGCAGUUUUACCAAUAAACAAAGGGAGCUAGUGUUCUGUUCUACUCCAAUCAGACUGCAGAAGAGAAUAACAAGUACUUCCCGGCGAUGUUUACAAAAUUUAAAAGAACUGUUGAAGUUUCGUAAACAAUGGGAAUAAAUCGUAUUUUAAAAAUUGAGUAGCAGUUUUAGCUUUUUUCUUGUCAUGUAGAGCGUCCUGUAGUUUGAUAAAGGCUUGAGAGCUAUUUCUUGCCUUCGGGUUCUUAAUAUACUAGUAAAAUAUUAAUAUAUUAACUUCAAAUGAUCCACAUCGGAAUUUUCCACAGUGAGGGUCUGAAGCCAUCCCCUCCACUCAGAGCACCUGGUGAGCCGGUUUUGCCAAUAGAGCUGGGUGGAGUUUGCUGUAUUCCACUUUUUCAUCCAUGGCUAAGAGCUGGGCUACUAGGCUUGGGCAGCGUGGGGUCACUGGAUCUCAGCUCUAUUUCUAAAUUGGCACACCUGCCUUGGGAAACAAGAAGCAUUGCCUCUGAGACCUAAACUAGUGAAAACAUAGCGUCCAGCAGCGAUGCCACAGGUGUGGCGCUCAGAGCACAGACACACCUGCCCCAGAAGACAGGCAAGGGCAGAUCCUGGAAGUGGAGCUGAAGCCGUCUAAUGCUGAAGGUUCAGUCUAAGAAAAGAACACGCAAUUAUGAACAACAUAACAUGUUUGUGUGACAGUUUAUUUAGAAUGACAGUGUAAAACAAUUGCAAAAUUUGAAAAACUGACAACAAAAUGUUAAAAAGAACAAAUUUAAAAUUAAUUGCCUUCAAGUUCCCAUUGUGGCUUAGCAUGUUAUAAACCAACUGGUACCCAUGAGGAUUUGGAUUUCAAUUCCUGGCCUCGCUCAGUGGGUUAAGGAUCCAGCGUUGCCUUGAGCUGUGGUGUAGGUGGCAGAUGUGGCUUGGGUCUGGUGUUGCUGUGACUGUGGCGUAGGCCAGCUGCUACAGUCCAAUUCGACCUCUAGCCUGGGAACUUCCAUAUGCCAUGGUGUGACCCU
rnacentral:lncRNA from 1 species